rnacentral:rRNA from 1 species
CUUGCUUCUCUUGAGAGCGGCGGACGGGUGAGUAAUGCCUAGGAAUCUGCCUGGUAGUGGGGGAUAACGUCCGGAAACGGACGCUAAUACCGCAUACGUCCUACGGGAGAAAGCAGGGGACCUUCGGGCCUUGCGCUAUCAGAUGAGCCUAGGUCGGAUUAGCUAGUUGGUGGGGUAAUGGCUCACCAAGGCGACGAUCCGUAACUGGUCUGAGAGGAUGAUCAGUCACACUGGAACUGAGACACGGUCCAGACUCCUACGGGAGGCAGCAGUGGGGAAUAUUGGACAAUGGGCGAAAGCCUGAUCCAGCCAUGCCGCGUGUGUGAAGAAGGUCUUCGGAUUGUAAAGCACUUUAAGUUGGGAGGAAGGGCAGUAAAUUAAUACUUUGCUGUUUUGACGUUACCGACAGAAUAAGCACCGGCUAACUCUGUGCCAGCAGCCGCGGUAAUACAGAGGGUGCAAGCGUUAAUCGGAAUUACUGGGCGUAAAGCGCGCGUAGGUGGUUCGUUAAGUUGGAUGUGAAAUCCCCGGGCUCAACCUGGGAACUGCAUUCAAAACUGACGAGCUAGAGUAUGGUAGAGGGUGGUGGAAUUUCCUGUGUAGCGGUGAAAUGCGUAGAUAUAGGAAGGAACACCAGUGGCGAAGGCGACCACCUGGACUAAUACUGACACUGA